rnacentral:lncRNA from 1 species
CCUAAAGUAGGUCAAUCUACUGGAAAACCCAGUAUUAACUUCAGGUUUGACAACAGGAAGAUUCAUCCGUGUAAUGAACAGUCUCCUUUUAAAUACUAUCGAAUUUAAAUGAAGAAAAAUAAGUCAAUCAAGUCUUCUGUUACUUUGGCACUUGGAUCUGGGGAAUGAUCAUCAUCACCACUAAAUAUGAAAGGAUUUUCAGCAAUACUUUGGAGAGUAUAAAACUUGCAAACAAGGUCAAUUAUAACGUCGUCCAGAAAUGUAGCAGAAUACACAGAAGACUGUGGUAGGGACAGUGCUUUUUCAUUAGCAGGAUUCAAGAAUUCAAUGACAUGGUCAUUUUCAGGUGGAUUUCUCAUUAAAAUCUGAAGUCAUUAAAUAGUUCCUUCCCAAGCAUGAAGUCUUGCUGUAUAGAGAAAGAGUGGAGAUAAUAGCCUCCUGAUGACAUCUUCUAAAAAUGAGUGUGAUAACAUGAACAUGGAUGACUCCUAUUAAGAGUUCCCGAAAGAGAUCAUCAAAGUCACAGUCACAGCCACUCUUGGGCAGUAAAUAUAUUUUGUUUUUACAGAAACCAUUUGUUGGGUAAUGUCUGCUUUUAAAAUGUCACUAUUAAACAGGAUUCAAAUAAUGAUUUCAGAAAUGCUUAAAGCAAGUUCUCUGAUAGAAAUUGACUGACUCUCCAACACUUUGUAAUAAACUAAAAUAACCUUGUUAAAAGCUGAAUCUUGACUUUCCAGUGCUUUUUGUUUUGACCCACUGUCUUCGGU